rfam:Ixodes scapularis strain Wikel colony gcontig_1107728812592, whole genome shotgun sequence.
UCCUGGUUAGCACUGUCGGUAGAGCGCUUCAGUGGAAAUGAAGAGGUCCCUGGUUCGAUACCAGGACCUGGCG